rnacentral:rRNA from 1 species
GCCAACGAUGUUUGCGACGUAGGAUCUGUCGGUUCCCAUUGAUCACCAAGUGCAAUUGCAUUUGUCACGAUCAGUACUAGGAUGGGUGACCAUUUGGGAACCGUGCAUAUUGUUGGGU